rnacentral:rRNA from 1 species
UACGGGGGGGGCAAGCGUUGUUCGGAAUUACUGGGCGUAAAGGGCUCGUAGGCGGCCAACUAAGUCAGACGUGAAAUCCCCAGGCUCAACCUGGGAACUGCGUCUGAUACUGGAUGGCUUGAAUCCGGGAGAGGGAUGCAGAAUUCCAGGUGUAGCGGUGAAAUGCGUAGAUAUCUGGAGGAAUACCGAUGGCGAAGGCAGGUCUCUGGGCUGACACUGACGCUCAUGCACGAAAGCGUGGGGAGCAAACAGG